CCUACGGGCGGCAGCAGUGGGGAAUAUUGCACAAUGGGCGCAAGCCCGAUGCAGCCAUGCCGCGUGUGUGAAGAAGGCCUUCGGGCUGUAAAGCACUUUCAGCGGGGAGGAAGGCGGUGAGGUUAAUAACCUCAUCGAUUGACGUUACCCGCAGAAGGAGCACCGGCUAACUCCGUGCCAGCAGCCGCGGUAAUACGGAGGGUGCAAGCGUUAAUCGGAAUUACUGGGCGUAAAGCGCACGCAGGCGGUCUGUCAAGUCGGAUGUGAAAUCCCCGGGCUCAACCUGGGAACUGCAUUCGAAACUGGCAGGCUAGAGUCUUGUAGAGGGGGGGAGAAUUCCAGGUGUAGCGGUGAAAUGCGUAGAGAUCUGGAGGAAUACCGGUGGCGAAGGCGGCCCCCUGGACAAAGACUGACGCUCAGGUGCGAAAGCGUGGGGAGCAAACAGGAUUAGAUACCCGAGUAGUC
rnacentral:rRNA from 1 species